GAGUUUGAUCAUGGCUCAGAACGAACGCUGGCGGCGUGCCUAAUACAUGCAAGUCGAGCGAGAAAGUCUCUUCGGAGGCGAGUAAAGCGGCGCACGGGUGAGUAACACGUGGGCAACCUGCCCUUGAGUCUGGGAUAACCCGGGGAAACUCGGGCUAAUACCAGAUACGGCUGCGGGGUCUUUGGACCCUGUGGAGAAAGAUGGCCUCUUCAUGAAUGCUAUCUCUCAAGGAUGGGCCCGCGUCCUAUUAGCUAGUUGGUGGGGUAACGGCUCACCAAGGCAGAGAUGGGUAGCUGGUCUGAGAGGAUGACCAGCCACACUGGAACUGAGACACGGUCCAGACUCCUACGGGAGGCAGCAGUAGGGAAUUUUGGGCAAUGGGCGAAAGCCUGACCCAGCAACGCCGCGUGUGGGAUGAAGGCCCUCGGGUCGUAAACCACUGUCAGGAGGAAAGAAAAGCCGAUCGGGUAAUAUUCGGUCGGCCUGACGGUACCUCCAAAGGAAGCACCGGCUAACUCCGUGCCAGCAGCCGCGGUAAUACGGAGGGUGCAAGCGUUGUUCGGAAUUACUGGGCGUAAAGCGCGUGUAGGUGGUUGAGUAAGUCGAAUGUGAAAGCCCCGGGCUCAACCCGGGAAGUGCAUC
rnacentral:rRNA from 1 species